AAUAUAAUUAUAUUUGUGUUCGCAGAGCAAUUAAGUUAAAUUUUCCAUUGUUAGGCAGCUUUGGAAUGUGCCAUAGACUAUGCUACUAAACGUGAGGCAUUUGGCUCAUUAAUCGUGAAGUUUCAGGCUAUUCAGAUGAAGUUGGCUGAUAUGGAGACCAGACUACAGAGUGCCAGAUUGUUGACUUGGAAAGCAGCUAUGCUAAAAGAUGCAGG